rnacentral:rRNA from 1 species
UAUGGAGGGGGCAAGCGUUGUUCGGAAUUACUGGGCGUAAAGGGCGCGCAGGCGGCUGCUCAAGUCAGGCGUGAAAGGCCUGGGCUCAACCCGGGAAUUGCGCUUGAGACUGGGCUGGCUUGAGUGCGGGAGAGGAUGGUGGAAUUCCCAGUGUAGAGGUGAAAUUCGUAGAUAUUGGGAAGAACACCGGUGGCGAAGGCGGCCAUCUGGACCGCAACUGACGCUGAGGCGCGAAAGCGUGGGGAGCAAACAGGG